UACGGGGGGGGCAAGCGUUGUUCGGAAUUACUGGGCGUAAAGGGCUCGUAGGUGGCCAACUAAGUCAGACGUGAAAUCCCUCGGCUUAACCGGGGAACUGCGUCUGAUACUGGAUGGCUCGAGUUUGGGAGAGGGAUGCGGAAUUCCAGGUGUAGCGGUGAAAUGCGCAGAUAUCGGGAGGAACACCGGUGGCGAAGGCGGUUCUCUGGGCCUGUACUGACGCUGAGGAGCGAAAGCGUGGGGAGCGAACAGG
rnacentral:rRNA from 1 species